CAGCCGCCGCGGUAAUACGAAGGGUGCAAGCGUUAAUCGGAAUUACUGGGCGUAAAGCGUGCGUAGGCGGUGAGUUAAGUCUGCUGUGAAAUCCCCGGGCUCAACCUGGGAAUGGCAGUGGAUACUGGCUCGCUAGAGUGUGUCAGAGGAUGGUGGAAUUCCCGGUGUAGCGGUGAAAUGCGUAGAGAUCGGGAGGAACAUCAGUGGCGAAGGCGGCUUACUGGCUCAUACUGGACGCUGAGGUGCGAAAGCGUGGGGAGCAAACAGGAUUAGAUACCCGGGUAGUCCCUGUCUCUUAUAC
rnacentral:rRNA from 1 species